rnacentral:rRNA from 1 species
UACGUAGGGGGCAAGCGUUAUCCGGAAUUACUGGGUGUAAAGGGUGAGUAGGCGGCAUGGCAAGCCAGAUGUGAAAGCCUUGGGCUUAACCCGAGGAUUGCAUUUGGAACUAUCAAGCUAGAGUACAGGAGAGGAAAGCGGAAUUCCUAGUGUAGCGGUGAAAUGCGUAGAUAUUAGGAAGAACACCGGUGGCGAAGGCGGCUUUCUGGACUGAAACUGACGCUGAGGCACGAAAGCGUGGGGAGCGAACAGG